rnacentral:rRNA from 1 species
ACCUCAUCUUUAGCUAGGGUUGGGUAUUAUUUAUUGAAAUUGAUAGCUUGUGAGGAGGGUGACGGGCGGUAUGUACGUGCCCCAGGGCCGUCUUUAAGUAGGCUUAAGAGAAGUAUGGUCUUACUUUACUGCUAAAUCCUCCCUCCAAGGGCGAGUCUCAUGCCCUUUUUCGUCUGUUCUAUGUUAGAAAAUGUAGCCCAUUUCUUCCACCUCAUGGGCUAUACCUUGACCUGUCUUGUUAGUGGGGACUAUUGAGCUCACUAUUGAUCUUUCAUUUUAGGUGGGCUGGCGACG